CCCUUAGAUGUUCUGGGCAGCACGCGCGCUACAAUGGUCUUCGCAAACGGAUGCAUUCUCGAAGGAGAAUGCCAAUCUUGGAAUCUAUGCCUUGGUCGGGACAGUUGCUUGCAAUUUUUCGACUCGAACCAGGAAUUCCUUGUAAUCGUGAUUCAUCACAUCCCGAUGAAUACGUCCCUGCCCUUUGUACACACCGCCCGUCGCUCCUACCGAUCGAAGAGUUAGGUGAAUUGUUUUGAUCGAUAAGAUUUGACUAUGGUCAACUCUCGUUGUGAAAUUCUGUGAAUCUGACUGUUUAGAGGAAGGAAAAGUCGUAACA
rnacentral:rRNA from 1 species